rnacentral:rRNA from 1 species
CCUACGGGGGGCUGCAGUGGGGAAUAUUGGACAAUGGGGGCAACCCUGAUCCAGCCAUGCCGCGUGUGUGAAGAAGGCCCUCGGGUUGUAAAGCACUUUCAGUGAGGAAGAACGCCUGGUGGUUAAUACCCAUCAGGAAAGACAUCACUCACAGAAGAAGCACCGGCUAACUCCGUGCCAGCAGCCGCGGUAAUACGGAGGGUGCGAGCGUUAAUCGGAAUUACUGGGCGUAAAGCGCGCGUAGGUGGCUUGAUAAGCCGGUUGUGAAAGCCCCGGGCUCAACCUGGGAACGGCAUCCGGAACUGUCAAGCUAGAGUGCAGGAGAGGAAGGUAGAAUUCCCGGUGUAGCGGUGAAAUGCGUAGAGAUCGAGAGGAAUACCAGUGGCGAAGGCGGCCUUCUGGACUGACACUGACACUGAGGUGCGAAAGCGUGGGUAGCAAACAGGAUUAGAUACCCGAGUAGUC